AACCUCCGCAAUGUGAGAAAUCGCGACGGGGGGAUCCCAAGUGCCAUUCUUAACGGGAUGGCUUUUCAUUAGCGUAAAGAGCUUUUGGAAUAAGAGCUGGGCAAGACCGGUGCCAGCCGCCGCGGUAACACCGGCAGCUCUAGUGGUAACAAUUUUUAUUGGGCCUAAAGCGUCCGUAGCCGGUUUAAUAAGUCUCUGGUGAAAUCCUGCAGCUUAACUGUGGGAAUUGCUGGAGAUACUAUUAGACUUGAGACCGGGAGAGGUUAGAGGUACUCCCAGGGUAGAGGUGAAAUUCUGUAAUCCUGGGAGGACCGCCUGUUGCGAAGGCGUCUAACUGGAACGGUUCUGACGGUGAGGGACGAAAGUUAGGGGCGCGAACCGGAUUAGAUACCCGGGUAGUCCUAACUGUAAACGAUGCGGACUUGGUGUUGGGGUGGCUUUGAGCUGCUUCAGUGCCGAAGGGAAGCUGUUAAGUCCGCCGCCUGGGAAGUACGGUCGCAAGACUGAAACUUAAAGGAAUU
rnacentral:rRNA from 1 species